rnacentral:rRNA from 1 species
CCUACGGGCGGCAGCAGUGGGGAAUAUUGGACAAUGGGCGAAAGCCUGAUCCAGCCAUGCCGCGUGUGUGAAGAAGGCCUUCGGGUUGUAAAGCACUUUCAGUGGGGAAGAAAGCCUUGGGGCUAAUACCCUCGAGGAAGGACAUCACCCACAGAAGAAGCACCGGCUAACUCCGUGCCAGCAGCCGCGGUAAUACGGAGGGUGCGAGCGUUAAUCGGAAUUACUGGGCGUAAAGCGCGCGUAGGCGGUCUGAUAAGCCGGUUGUGAAAGCCCCGGGCUCAACCUGGGAACGGCAUCCGGAACUGUCAGGCUAGAGUGCAGGAGAGGAAGGUAGAAUUCCCGGAGUAGCGGUGAAAUGCGUAGAGAUCGGGAGGAAUACCAGUGGCGAAGGCGGCCUUCUGGACUGACACUGACGCUGAGGUGCGAAAGCGUGGGUAGCAAACAGGAUUAGAUACCCCGGUAGUC